rfam:Musa acuminata subsp. malaccensis Doubled-haploid Pahang (DH-Pahang) genomic chromosome, chr9
AGAGUCAAAUGCAGCCAAAGAUGACUUGCCGAAGAAGAGUGCCUUCACUGCAAGUUGUCGGCAAGUUUGUCCUUGGCUACACUUGGCUCUCU